rnacentral:rRNA from 1 species
UGGGGAAUAUUGCACAAUGGGCGCAAGCCUGAUGCAGCCAUGCCGCGUGUAUGAAGAAGGCCUUCGGGUUGUAAAGUACUUUCAGCGGGGAGGAAGGGAGUAAAGUUAAUACCUUUGCUCAUUGACGUUACCCGCAGAAGAAGCACCGGCUAACUCCGUGCCAGCAGCCGCGGUCAUACGGAGGGUGCAAGCGUUAAUCGGAAUUACUGGGCGUAAAGCGCACGCAGGCGGUUUGUUAAGUCAGAUGUGAAAUCCCCGGGCUCAACCUGGGAACUGCAUCUGAUACUGGCAAGCUUGAGUCUCGUAGAGGGGGGUAGAAUUCCAGGUGUAGCGGUGAAAUGCGUAGAGAUCUGGAGGAGUACCGGUGGCGAAGGCGGCCCCCUGGACGAAGACUGACGCUCAGGUGCGAAAGCGUGGGGAGCAAACAGG